CCCAGCUUCAUUUUGUCAGAGUUUGACACAAGUGACUCCAUUUUGAAUCUGACAGCUUUCACAACAAGACAGUAGAAACUGUGAUAUUUAUUACCACUCAGAACAUAAAUUACAAGAUAAGCUGAUGAAGUACAGUGUAUGUAGAAUGUUAAACUCUAAAUUUCCAUUUGUUGGAUUACACAAUAAAGUUCUUAAUAGAGAAGGGACCACACUCUCUGAGAAAAUAUGAAGCCAUGGAAAAACAUAAUGGAACUGUCCUCUAUUCCCUCAUUAUAGUUCCAGGCCAUAAGUACCUGGGAAAAAAAUUACAAAGAUUUUUCAUAAAGGCAAAGAUUCCAGAUGUUUAAAGACUUUGCGUGUGUGCGCGUGUGUGUGUAUUUUUUUUUUUUUUUUUUUUUUUGAGACGGAGUCUUGCUCUGCAUCCCAGGCUGGAAUGCAAUGCUGCGAUCUUGGCUCACUGCAACCUCCAUCUCCCAGGUUCAAGCGAUUCUUCUGCUUCAGCCUUCCAAGUAG
rnacentral:lncRNA from 1 species